GGGCACAUGGUGUAGUUGGUUAUCACAUCCGCUUAGCAUCCGACUUUGGAUCUGUUGCGGGGGGUGCUGGGUUCAAUUCCCAGUGUGUCCA